rnacentral:rRNA from 1 species
CUUCCCCUUCGGGGGACAAAGUGACAGGUGGUGCAUGGUUGUCGUCAGCUCGUGUCGUGAGAUGUUGGGUUAAGUCCCGCAACGAGCGCAACCCUUAAGCUUAGUUGCCAUCAUUAAGUUGGGCACUUUAGGUUGACUGCCGGUGACAAACCGGAGGAAGGUGGGGAUGACGUCAAAUCAUCAUGCCCCUUAUGAUUUGGGCUACACACGUGCUACAAUGGACAAUACAAAGGGCAGCUAAACCGCGAGGUCAUGCAAAUCCCAUAAAGUUGUUCUCAGUUCGGAUUGUAGUCUGCAACUCGACUACAUGAAGCUGGAAUCGCUAGUAAUCGUAGAUCAGCAUGCUACGGUGAAUACGUUCCCGGGUCUUGUACACACCGCCCGUCACACCACGAGAGUUUGUAACACCCGAAGCCGGUGGAGUAACCAUUUUAUGGAGCUAGCC